rnacentral:rRNA from 1 species
GAUGAACGCUGGCGGCGUGCCUAAUACAUGCAAGUCGAGCGAACGGACGAGAAGCUUGCUUUUCUGAUGUUAGCGGCGGACGGGUGAGUAACACGUGGAUAACCUACCUAUAAGACUGGGAUAACUUCGGGAAACCGGAGCUAAUACCGGAUAAUAUUUUGAACCGCAUGGUUCAAAAGUGAAAGACGGUCUUGCUGUCACUUAUAGAUGGAUCCGCGCUGCAUUAGCUAGUUGGUAAGGUAACGGCUUACCAAGGCAACGAUGCAUAGCCGACCUGAGAGGGUGAUCGGCCACACUGGAACUGAGACACGGUCCAGACUCCUACGGGAGGCAGCAGUAGGGAAUCUUCCGCAAUGGGCGAAAGCUUGACGGAGCAACGCCGCGUGAGUGAUGAAGGUCUUCGGAUCGUAAAACUCUGUUAUUAGGGAAGAACAUAUGUGUAAGUAACUGUGCACAUCUUGACGGUACCUAAUCAGAAAGCCACGGCUAACUACGUG